rnacentral:rRNA from 1 species
GAUGAACGCUGGCGGCGUGCUUAACACAUGCAAGUCGAACGAUGAAGCCCAGCUUGCUGGGUGGAUUAGUGGCGAACGGGUGAGUAACACGUGAGUAACCUGCCCUUAACUCUGGGAUAAGCCUGGGAAACUGGGUCUAAUACCGGAUAGGAGCGUCCACCGCAUGGUGGGUGUUGGAAAGAUUUAUCGGUUUUGGAUGGACUCGCGGCCUAUCAGCUUGUUGGUGAGGUAAUGGCUCACCAAGGCGACGACGGGUAGCCGGCCUGAGAGGGUGACCGGCCACACUGGGACUGAGACACGGCCCAGACUCCUACGGGAGGCAGCAGUGGGGAAUAUUGCGCAAUGGGCGAAAGCCUGACGCAGCAACGCCGCGUGCGGGAUGACGGCCUUCGGGUUGUAAACCGCUUUCAGCAGGGAAGAAGCCGCAAGGUGACGGUACCUGCAGAAGAAGCACCGGCUAACUUCGUGCCAGCAGCAGCCGCAG